GACGAACGCUGGCGGCGGGCUUAACACAUGCAAGUCGAACGGAAAGGCCCUGCUUUUGUGGGGUGCUCGAGUGGCGAACGGGUGAGUAACACGUGAGUAACCUGCCCUUGACUUUGGGAUAACUUCAGGAAACUGGGGCUAAUACCGUAUAGGAGCUCCUGCUGCAUGGUGGGGGUGGGAAAGUUUCGGCGGUUGGGGAUGGACUCGCGGCUUAUCAGCUUGUUGGUGGGGUAGUGGCUUACCAAGGCUUUGACGGGUAGCCGGCCUGAGAGGGUGACCGGCCACAUUGGGACUGAGAUACGGCCCAGACUCCUACGGGAGGCAGCAGUGGGGAAUAUUGCACAAUGGGCGGAAGCCUGAUGCAGAAACGCCGCGUGCGGGAUGACGGCCUUCGGGUUGUAAACAGCUUUCGCCUGUGACGAAGCGUGAGUGACGGUAAUGGGUAAAGAAGCACCGGCUAACUACGUG
rnacentral:rRNA from 1 species